rnacentral:rRNA from 1 species
CCUACGGGAGGCAGCAGUGAGGAAUAUUGGUCAAUGGGCGGAAGCCUGAACCAGCCAAGCCGCGUGAGGGAAGAAGGUACAGCGUAUCGUAAACCUCUUUUGUCAGGGAACAAAGGCGGGGACUAGUCCCCGGCUGAGGGUACCUUAAGAAAAAGCAUCGGCUAACUCCGUGCCAGCAGCCGCGGUAAUACGGAGGAUGCGAGCGUUAUCCGGUUUUAUUGGGUUUAAGGGGUGCGCAGGCGGCCUGUUAAGUCAGCGGUAAAAGCCCGGGGCUCAACCCCGGCGAGCCGUUGAAACUGGCGGGCUGGAGUGGGAGAGAGGUAGGCGGAAUGCGCGGUGUAGCGGUGAAAUGCUUAGAUAUCGCGCAGAACCCCGAUUGCGAAGGCAGCGUACCGGCUCCAAACUGACGCUGAGGCACGAAAGCGUGGGUAUCGAACAGGAUUAGAUACCCGGGUAGUC